rnacentral:rRNA from 1 species
UACGUAGGGUGCGAGCGUUGUCCGGAAUUAUUGGGCGUAAAGAGCUCGUAGGCGGUCUGUCGCGUCGGUCGUGAAAACUUGGGGCUUAACCCUGAGCUUGCGGUCGAUACGGGCAUGACUGGAGUUCGGCAGGGGAGACUGGAAUUCCUGGUGUAGCGGUGAAAUGCGCAGAUAUCAGGAGGAACACCGGUGGCGAAGGCGGGUCUCUGGGCCGACACUGACGCUGAUGCGCGAAAGCCAGGGGAGCGAACGGG